UCGAGAAUUUUUCACAAUGGGCGCAAGCCUGAUGGAGCGACGCCGCGUGGGGGAUGAAUGGCUUCGGCCCGUAAACCCCUGUCAUUCGCGAUCAAACGUUGGUAUUUAAAAGAUGCCAGCCUGAUAGUAGCGGAAGAGGAAGGGACGGCUAACUCUGUGCCAGCAGCCGCGGUAAUACAGAGGUCCCGAGCGUUGUUCGGAUUCACUGGGCGUAAAGGGUGCGUAGGUGGUGAGGUAAGUCGGAUGUGAAAGCUCGGAGCUCAACGCCGAAAUGGCAUUGGAAACUACCGUGCUUGAGGAUUGGAAUGGGGACUGGAAUGCUUGGUGUAGCAGUGAAUUGCGUAGAUAUCAAGUGGAACACCAGUGGCGAAGGCGAGUCCCUGGACGGAACCUGACACUGAGGCACGAAAGCUAGGGGAGCAAACA
rnacentral:rRNA from 1 species